AUAAGGACCGGCUAAUUCCGUGCCAGCAGCCGCGGUAAUACGGAAGGUCCGGGCGUUAUCCGGAUUUAUUGGGUUUAAAGGGAGCGUAGGCCGGAGAUUAAGCGUGUUGUGAAAUGUAGACGCUCAACGUCUGCACUGCAGCGCGAACUGGUUUCCUUGAGUACGCACAAAGUGGGCGGAAUUCGUGGUGUAGCGGUGAAAUGCUUAGAUAUCACGAAGAACUCCGAUUGCGAAGGCAGCUCACUGGAGCGCAACUGACGCUGAAGCUCGAAAGUGCGGGUAUCGAACAGGAUUAGAUACCCUGGUAGUCCGCACGGUAAACGAUGGAUGCCCGCUGUUGGUCUGAAUAGGUCAGC
rnacentral:rRNA from 1 species